rnacentral:lncRNA from 1 species
GGGAAUACAAAUGAAAUUCUUAAUGUGCAAUAUUCAUAUAUGAUUCAUUAUAUUCUUCUUUAUGAUCAAUGUAAAGCAAGUGUCUUCUGUGGUAGUCAGAGUGCUUUAAAGGAAGACCAUCAUAACUGCAGUUCCUGCAGGAGCCAUCGCAGUCCUUCANCAGGAACCGAAUAUUAAAAUGUUUCAGUUUUAUGAAGAGCUCCAUGAAAAGAUUUUGUAGUUUUACAAAGAGGUGAAUUCCUUGCUCUGGAAGUUGCUGGAGUUUCUUACACAAAUGUAUUGUUGUUAAUUCAGACUGGAUUAGGCGUUAAUAACAAAUAGGAUAAGAAGUGUCCCACAAAUCGUAUUUAUUUCUGUAUCUGAGCAGAUGCUACGGAUUAUAGGCUUGGCUUGCUAAUGCCAUCUUUGUCUUUAUAAGUUACAGAGAAUUAAAGAAAGUCUGCAGUGCUACCUGAGUUUGUUUUUUUGAUAUAGUGGCAGUAAUUAAUUUAGUUAAUUCCACAAGUUAAUUUCACAAGUUUUCACACAGCUGUUUCUGCAUCUUUUCAGCAGUUGUCUGAGAGAAAGAUUGACAAACCAAAUAUUACUUUUUUAUGGUAAAAUGCGUCCUCUUCAUGUGAAAAUGAUCUGUGUGAACUAUAAAGUGUAGCCAGAUGUUGAUACCACUGCUCUUCAUGCUGAUGUGGUACAGCGCUACUUUCUGCUUUAAAUUUGUGUCAUUUUACAGAGACACUUGGUCAGGGUGGUCAUUUUAGUUCGCUCUUCUGCUGAACCUGUUUUUCAAAGCAAGUUCAUGACCAACAGGGACCUCUGCUAGAGAACUGGAAAAAGCUGUUGUAAUUCUGUAAGCUAAAUGAAUGGUCCAGAGAGAUUGUAUGUGGCGCGUGAUGCCAGGUUUCAUCUGCUUCUAAAGUUAAAUGUGUUUUACCAUCAGGAAAUUUUUUGUAUAAUACAGAGCAAAAAUCCCCUUAAAAAAAUAUAAAUGAGCUUGUGCUCUUAUUCCGUGUCUUAUAACCAUUUUCAUCAAGCUGAACCAUUCCUUGCUUUUAUUUUUAAAGUAUUUUAUUUUAAAAAUUAUUUUUAUCAAGUUCUCUUGAUUCAUUUUUCCUAACAAAACAAAAGUUCUGUUUGUCACUGUUUUUCUUCCCUAAUUGUGAUCGUUUAAUUAAGGAACCUA